CUGACGCAGGAGCAAGAAUGAGGUGUCAUUGGCGCUGGGCCAAGGGAGCAGCACUGCUGGUUCAGGACUGCAGCUGGUUCACUACACCUACCUGGGACAAGCAGGGCGGCAUUGCUAGCGAGGAUGGGCGGCGAUGGGUUCAGGAGGGCGACUUACUCGCAGAACAACCACUUCUAGUAGCAAGGAGCUUGGCUUCCCAGUCUGUGCCGCUGACGCGGGAGCGAAGAUGGGCUGCAGCUGGUUGACUAUUCGGUGCGACCUACCUCGGACAAUCAGGGUGAGU